GGAUUAAUUAUUGGCAAUUAAGAAGAUAUAGAAUUUGCGGCGCAUGACUGACAGUCAUGAGGUCAGCGGUUCGAGCCCGCUAUGCUCCACCA
rnacentral:tRNA from 1 species